rnacentral:lncRNA from 1 species
GUGCAGAAGUCUGGGCAGCUGCGGGAGGAGAGGUUUGGGAGGCGCGGGAGAUGUCCACCCUGGGCUGGUGGCGCCGCCGGGCGCCGGGCGCCAUGAGGGUGCGCUAGGCGGCUGUUCGUGCCCGAGGCUGCGCAGCACUGAGGUGAGCUUUGCCUUCUUGAUCUUCCGUCCUUCUUGGAGACGACUGGCGAGAGGAAGAGGGACUAGGUCCAAACGCUAGGUGGCUGGGUCCAGAGAGAGGCAGGAGAAUGGAGCAAACAAGAAGAGAGACGAGACCACACACCACGCUGUCCCUGGGAGACGAAGAGAGUAACCUCCUCGGUUCCUGACUUUAAAGUUCUCAAUUCCAGCCCCCUUUUAAUGAGAUACCUGUGUUUUGACUCUGUUCCUGUGGAUAGCUGCUUGGUCUGAAGUUCCAGAAAGGAUCCUGUUCCCAGACAGCCGGAGACCCGCACCAAGGAGGAGAUCAUCGAGCUCUUGGUCCUUGAGCAGUACCUGACCAUCAUCCCUGAAAAGCUCAAGCCUUGGGUGCGAGCAAAAAAGCCGGAGAACUGUGAGAAGCUCGUCACUCUGCUGGAGAAUU